rnacentral:rRNA from 1 species
ACUCCUACGGGAGGCAGCAGUGGGGAAUAUUGCACAAUGGGCGCAAGCCUGAUGCAGCCAUGCCGCGUGUAUGAAGAAGGCCUUCGGUUGUAAAGUACUUUCAGCAGUGAGGAAGGUGGGUAUGUUAAUAGCAUAUUCAUUUGACGUUAGCUGCAGAAGAAGCACCGGCUAACUCCGUGCCAGCAGCCGCGGUAAUACGGAGGGUGCGAGCGUUAAUCGGAAUUACUGGCGUAAAGCGCAUGCAGGUGGUUUGUUAAGUCAGAUGUGAAAGCCCGGGGCUCAACCUCGGAAUUGCAUUUGAAACUGGCAAACUAGAGUACUGUAGAGGGGGUAGAAUUUCAGGUGUAGCGGUGAAAUGCGUAGAGAUCUGAAGGAAUACCGGUGGCGAAGGCGGCCCCCUGGACAGAUACUGACACUCAGAUGCGAAAGCGUGGGGAGCAAACAGGAUUAGAUACCCUGGUAGGUCAGU